rnacentral:tRNA from 1 species
ACCUGUGUGGCGGAACGGUAGACGCGUUAGACUUAAGAUCUGAUCUCUUUUAAGGGGUGGGGGUUCAAGUCCCUCCACAGGUA